rnacentral:rRNA from 1 species
GACGAACGCUGGCGGCGUGCUUAACACAUGCAAGUCGAACGGAAAGGCCCUGCUUUUGUGGGGUGCUCGAGUGGCGAACGGGUGAGUAACACGUGAGUAACCUGCCCUUGACUUUGGGAUAACUUCAGGAAACUGGGGCUAAUACCGGAUAGGAGCUCCUGCUGCAUGGUGGGGGUUGGAAAGUUUCGGCGGUUGGGGAUGGACUCGCGGCUUAUCAGCUUGUUGGUGGGGUAGUGGCUUACCAAGGCUUUGACGGGUAGCCGGCCUGAGAGGGUGACCGGCCACAUUAGGACUGCGAUACGGCCCAGACUCCUACGGGAGGCAGCAGUGGGGAAUAUUGCACAAUGGGCGGAAGCCUGAUGCAGCAACGCCGCGUGCGGGAUGACGGCCUUCGGGUUGUAAACCGCUUUCGCCUGUGACGAAGCGUGAGUGACGGUAAUGGGUAAAGAAGCACCGGCUAACUACGUG